rnacentral:rRNA from 1 species
UGUGAGCUCGAUGAGUAGGGCGGGACACGUGGUAUCCUGUCUGAAUAUGGGGGGACCAUCCUCCAAGGCUAAAUACUCCUGACUGACCGAUAGUGAACCAGUACCGUGAGGGAAAGGCGAAAAGAACCCCGGCGAGGGGAGUGAAAAAGAACCUGAAACCGUGUACGUACAAGCAGUGGGAGCCUCUUUUAUGGGGUGACUGCGUACCUUUUGUAUAAUGGGUCAGCGACUUAUAUUCUGUAGCAAGGUUAACCGAAUAGGGGAGCCGAAGGGAAACCGAGUCUUAACUGGGCGUUAAGUUGCAGGGUAUAGACCCGAAACCCGGUGAUCUAGCCAUGGGCAGGUUGAAGGUUGGGUAACACUAACUGGAGGACCGAACCGACUAAUGUUGAAAAAUUAGCGGAUGACUUGUGGCUGGGGGUGAAAGGCCAAUCAAACCGGGAGAUAGCUGGUUCUCCCCGAAAGCUAUUUAGGUAGCGCCUCGUGAAUUCAUCUCCGGGGGUAGAGCACUGUUUCGGCAAGGGGGUCAUCCCGACUUACCAACCCGAUGCAAACUGCGAAUACCGGAGAAUGUUAUCACGGGAGACACACGGCGGGUGCUAACGUCCGUCGUGAAGAGGGAAACAACCCAGACCGCCAGCUAAGGUCCCAAAGUCAUGGUUAAGUGGGAAACGAUGUGGGAAGGCCCAGACAGCCAGGAUGUUGGCUUAGAAGCAGCCAUCAUUUAAAGAAAGCGUAAUAGCUCACUGGUCGAGUCGGCCUGCGCGGAAGAUGUAACGGGGCUAAACCAUGCACCGAAGCUGCGGCAGCGACGCUUAUGCGUUGUUGGGUAGGGGAGCGUUCUGUAAGCCUGUGAAGGUGUGCUGUGAGGCAUGCUGGAGGUAUCAGAAGUGCGAAUGCUGACAUAAGUAACGAUAAAGCGGGUGAAAAGCCCGCUCGCCGGAAGACCAAGGGUUCCUGUCCAACGUUAAUCGGGGCAGGGUGAGUCGACCCCUAAGGCGAGGCCGAAAGGCGUAGUCGAUGGGAAACAGGUUAAUAUUCCUGUACUUGGUGUUACUGCGAAGGGGGGACGGAGAAGGCUAUGUUGGCCGGGCGACGGUUGUCCCGGUUUAAGCGUGUAGGCUGGUUUUCCAGGCAAAUCCGGAAAAUCAAGGCUGAGGCGUGAUGACGAGGCACUACGGUGCUGAAGCAACAAAUGCCCUGCUUCCAGGAAAAGCCUCUAAGCAUCAGGUAACAUCAAAUCGUACCCCAAACCGACACAGGUGGUCAGGUAGAGAAUACCAAGGCGCUUGAGAGAACUCGGGUGAAGGAACUAGGCAAAAUGGUGCCGUAACUUCGGGAGAAGGCACGCUGAUAUGUAGGUGAAGUCCCUUGCGGAUGGAGCUGAAAUCAGUCGAAGAUACCAGCUGGCUGCAACUGUUUAUUAAAAACACAGCACUGUGCAAACACGAAAGUGGACGUAUACGGUGUGACGCCUGCCCGGUGCCGGAAGGUUAAUUGAUGGGGUCAGCGCAAGCGAAGCUCUUGAUCGAAGCCCCGGUAAACGGCGGCCGUAACUAUAACGGUCCUAAGGUAGCGAAAUUCCUUGUCGGGUAAGUUCCGACCUGCACGAAUGGCGUAAUGAUGGCCAGGCUGUCUCCACCCGAGACUCAGUGAAAUUGAACUCGCUGUGAAGAUGCAGUGUACCCGCGGCAAGACGGAAAGACCCCGUGAACCUUUACUAUAGCUUGACACUGAACAUUGAGCCUUGAUGUGUAGGAUAGGUGGGAGGCUUUGAAGUGUGGACGCCAGUCUGCAUGGAGCCGACCUUGAAAUACCACCCUUUAAUGUUUGAUGUUCUAACGUGGACCCGUGAUCCGGGUUGCGGACAGUGUCUGGUGGGUAGUUUGACUGGGGCGGUCUCCUCCUAAAGAGUAACGGAGGAGCACGAAGGUUGGCUAAUCCUGGUCGGACAUCAGGAGGUUAGUGCAAUGGCAUAAGCCAGCUUGACUGCGAGCGUGACGGCGCGAGCAGGUGCGAAAGCAGGUCAUAGUGAUCCGGUGGUUCUGAAUGGAAGGGCCAUCGCUCAACGGAUAAAAGGUACUCCGGGGAUAACAGGCUGAUACCGCCCAAGAGUUCAUAUCGACGGCGGUGUUUGGCACCUCGAUGUCGGCUCAUCACAUCCUGGGGCUGAAGUAGGUCCCAAGGGUAUGGCUGUUCGCCAUUUAAAGUGGUACGCGAGCUGGGUUUAGAACGUCGUGAGACAGUUCGGUCCCUAUCUGCCGUGGGCGCUGGAGAACUGAGGGGGGCUGCUCCUAGUACGAGAGGACCGGAGUGGACGCAUCACUGGUGUUCGGGUUGUCAUGCCAAUGGCACUGCCCGGUAGCUAAAUGCGGAAGAGAUAAGUGCUGAAAGCAUCUAAGCACGAAACUUGCCCCGAGAUGAGUUCUCCCUGACUCCUUGA